GACGAACGCUGGCGGCGUGCCUAAUACAUGCAAGUCGAACGCACUCUCGUUUAGAUUGAAGGAGUUUGCUCCUGAUUGAUAAACAUUUGAGUGAGUGGCGGACGGGUGAGUAACACGUGGGUAACCUGCCCUAAAGUGGGGAUAACAUUUGGAAACAGAUGCUAAUACCGCAUAAAACCUAACACCGCAUGGGGUAGGGUUGAAAGAUGGUUUCGGCUAUCACUUUAGGAUGGACCCGCGGUGCAUUAGUUAGUUGGUGAGGUAAAGGCUCACCAAGACCGUGAUGCAUAGCCGACCUGAGAGGGUAAUCGGCCACACUGGGACUGAGACACGGCCCAGACUCCUACGGGAGGCAGCAGUAGGGAAUCUUCCACAAUGGACGAAAGUCUGAUGGAGCAACGCCGCGUGAGUGAAGAAGGUUUUCGGAUCGUAAAACUCUGUUGUUGGAGAAGAAUGUAUCUGAUAGUAACUGAUCAGGUAGUGACGGUAUCCAACCAGAAAGCCACGGCUAACUACGUG
rnacentral:rRNA from 1 species